UGGGGAAUAUUGCGCAAUGGGGGAAACCCUGACGCAGCAACGCCGCGUGAAUGAUGAAGGCCUUCGGGUUGUAAAGUUCUGUCUUCUGGGACGAUAAUGACGGUACCAGAGGAGGAAGCCACGGCUAACUACGUGCCAGCAGCCGCGGUAAUACGUAGGUGGCAAGCGUUGUCCGGAUUUACUGGGCGUAAAGGAUGCGUAGGCGGACAUUUAAGUCAGAUGUGAAAUACCCGAGCUUAACUUGGGUGC
rnacentral:rRNA from 1 species